rnacentral:rRNA from 1 species
UACAGAGGGGGCAAGCGUUGUUCGGAAUUACUGGGCGUAAAGGGCGCGUAGGCGGCCUUCUAAGUCAUGCGUGAAAUCCCCGGGCUCAACCCGGGAACUGCGUCUGAUACUGGAAGGCUUGAAUCCGGGAGAGGGAUGCGGAAUUCCAGGUGUAGCGGUGAAAUGCGCAGAUAUCAGGAGGAACACCAAUGGCGAAGGCAGCUCGCUGGGACGUGACUGACGCUGAGACGCGAAAGCGUGGGGAGCAAACAGG